rnacentral:rRNA from 1 species
UACGGGGGGGGCAAGCGUUGUUCGGAAUUACUGGGCGUAAAGGGCUCGUAGGUGGCCAACUAAGUCAGACGUGAAAUCCCUCGGCUUAACCGGGGAACUGCGUCUGAUACUGGAUGGCUUGAGAUUGGGAGAGGGAUGCGGAAUUCCAGGUGUAGCGGUGAAAUGCGUAGAUAUCAGGAGGAGCACCGAUGGCGAAGGCAGGUCUCUGGGCUGACACUGACGCUCAUGCACGAAAGCGUGGGGAGCAAACAGG